UACGUAGGUGGCAAGCGUUGUCCGGAUUUACUGGGCGUAAAGAGCGCGCAGGCGGUCGUUCAAGUCGCGUGUGAAAGCCCCCGGCUCAACUGGGGAGGGUCACGCGAUACUGAUCGACUCGAAGGCAGGAGAGGGUAGUGGAAUUCCCGGUGUAGUGGUGAAAUGCGUAGAUAUCAGGAGGAACACCGGUGGCGAAGGCGGCAUCCUGGACCGACACUGACACUGAGGAGCGAAAGCGUGGGGAGCAAACAGG
rnacentral:rRNA from 1 species